rnacentral:rRNA from 1 species
AUACGUAGGUCCCGAGCGUUGUCCGGAUUUAUUGGGCGUAAAGCGAGCGCAGGCGGCUCUAUAAGUCUGAAGUGAAAGGCUAUGGCUCAACCAUAGUAUGCUUUGGAAACUGUAGGGCUUGAGUGCAGAAGGGGAGAGUGGAAUUCCAUGUGUAGCGGUGAAAUGCGUAGAUAUGUGGAGGAACACCGGUGGCGAAAGCGGCUCUCUGGUCUGUGACUGACGCUGAGGCUCGAAAGCGUGGGUAGC